rnacentral:tRNA from 1 species
UGGGUUGUGGCUCAGCGGUAGAGCGCUUGCCUGGCAUAGCAAAGCCCUGGGUUCGAUCCUCAGCACCACAU